AGUCGUAACAAGGUUUCCGUAGGUGAACCUGCGGAAGGAUCAUUACCGAGUGAGGGCCCUUUGGGUCCAACCUCCCACCCGUGUUUAUUUUACCUUGUUGCUUCGGCGGGCCCGCCUUUACUGGCCGCCGGGGGGCUCACGCCCCCGGGCCCGCGCCCGCCGAAGACACCUCCGAACUCUGUCUGAAGAUUGAAGUCUGAGUGAAAAUAUAAAUUAUUUAAAACUUUCAACAACGGAUCUCUUGGUUCCGGCAUCGAUGAAGAACGCAGCGAAAUGCGAUACGUAAUGUGAAUUGCAAAUUCAGUGAAUCAUCGAGUCUUUGAACGCACAUUGCGCCCCCUGGUAUUCCGGGGGGCAUGCCUGUCCGAGCGUCAUUGCUGCCCUCAAGCACGGCUUGUGUGUUGGGCCCCGUCCUCCGAUUCCGGGGGACGGGCCCGAAAGGCAGCGGCGGCACCGCGUCCGGUCCUCGAGCGUAUGGGGCUUUGUCACCCGCUCUGUAGGCCCGGCCGGCGCUUGCCGAUCAACCCAAAUUUUUAUCCAGGUUGACCUCGGAUCAGGUAGGGAUACCCGCUGAACUUAAGCAUAUCAAUAAGCGGAGGA
rnacentral:misc_RNA from 1 species